UUAUUAACUUUUUACUAAAAUGUGAUUAAAUGUAGACACUAUAAUCAAUUCAUAGUUAGUAUCCACAAUAACUACAUAUAUGUGUACAUAAACCAAAACAUUUAUUUAGAAAAUACAAAAAAUUACUGUUUGUCUUGCUCUUUCUUCAGACUAUCCUUUCAAUUUUCAAUAGUGCCACAUAAUUUUAUAACUAAUUUUUAUUACAUCUGAACACCUCAAAGAGCUGUAGUUUUGAAAUAAAUUUUGCUAUGAUUAAAGAGAGAAAAUCUAUUCAGAAAGUACAGAAUACACGAAUUUACGGUACUUAUCCAAUUACCACCAGCAUAUAAAUUAUUUUGUAAAGUUAUUUCUUACACACAGGAUGUAAAAUGCAAAAAAAAAAAAAAAAUGGAAUUUGUAUUCAAAACAAACAGAAGCAACACUGGCUCCUAUAUGCUAAAAAUAUAAAACAGAUUUUUUUUUUUAAGCAUUCUAGAUACAAAUAUUAACUGUAUGGGCUGAGAACUUUUAAUUUCAAUAUAAUUCAACAAGGUACACAAGUAGAGCUCUAUAAAUAUAUCCCCUAUAAUAACCAUAUGCAAAAUCAUUUUAUCACAAAUACUACCAAACCCUCUGAAAAACAUAAACUACAAACACAUUUUUAAAGAAAUUCUGUUUUAACAACUACAAAAGAAUAUCAAUAAAGCUAUUUGGCUUUAAAAAACGAAGGGCAGUGUAAUGUAAAUCCCGUACUGAGAAAAUGUUUUCUGAGAAUGCAGUCUUGAGUUUAAUACAAGGUACUAAACAUUUUCAAAAAUAAACAAGACUUAUUCUAAUACCAUUUAAAGUCUUGAACAAAAGCUCUAAAAAGAAACCACUAAGUAACAGAUGAAAA
rnacentral:lncRNA from 1 species